AUGAUAAUUAAUAAAUGGAUGCAUGGGCAACAUUUGAUUUGAUAGUAUAUGCAAAAUGAUUAGACCUGCAUGUAUCAAAUCCCUAAGUAAAUUAAUACAAGUAAGAUUAAUAUCAAAUGUUGACUUUGAUUAUUGACUGUGAUAUUAAGCUAAAGUUAACAGCAGCUACAUUUGACUGGGGAAACGCGUUGUAGCAAAAUUAAAGGCAGCAACAUUCUAUUAGAGUUCUCCACCAGUUAUAGCAGCAAGCCCAUAUUAAGCAAAAGUUUCAUCCAGAACCACAUUCAAUAAUCAAAGCCCACAGCUAGCCCACUAACACAGAUCAAUCCCCAACAGUAAAAUUAAUAUGAUUAUAAAACCCCUUAGUACUCGGUGAAUGAAAAGGAUCUAACUCCCUCUCCCAUACCAACACAAGAAAACUUGAAAAUAUGGAAGAACAGUAAUUUAGUAGAGUCCCCUGUGCUGCUGUCACCGCUGUUCGAUGAUCCAGCCGCGGUUGCUGCCAAGUUAC
rnacentral:misc_RNA from 1 species